UACGGAGGUGGCUAGCGUUACUCGGAAUUAUUGGGUGUAAAGGGCAAGUAGGUGGCUUGGUAAGUGAGAGGUGAAAUACUCCGGCUCAAUCGGAGAACUGCCUUUCAUACUGCCUUGCUUGAGGAUGACAGGGGGAAAUGGAAUUCCAGGUGUAAGGGUGAAAUCUGUAGAUAUCUGGAAGAACACCAGCGGCGAAGGCGAUUUCCUGGGUCACUCCUGACACUGAAUUGCGAAAGCUAGGGGAGCAAACAGG
rnacentral:rRNA from 1 species